UUAAGCGACUAAGCGUACACGGUGGAUGCCCUGGCAGUCAGAGGCGAUGAAGGACGUGCUAAUCUGCGAUAAGCGUCGGUAAGGUGAUAUGAACCGUUAUAACCGGCGAUUUCCGAAUGGGGAAACCCAGUGUGAUUCGUCACACUAUCAUUAACUGAAUCCAUAGGUUAAUGAGGCGAACCGGGGGAACUGAAACAUCUAAGUACCCCGAGGAAAAGAAAUCAACCGAGAUUCCCCCAGUAGCGGCGAGCGAACGGGGAGGAGCCCAGAGCCUGAAUCAGUGUGUGUGUUAGUGGAAGCGUCUGGAAAGGCGCGCGAUACAGGGUGACAGCCCCGUACACAAAAAUGCACAUACUGUGAGCUCGAUGAGUAGGGCGGGACACGUGGUAUCCUGUCUGAAUAUGGGGGGACCAUCCUCCAAGGCUAAAUACUCCUGACUGACCGAUAGUGAACCAGUACCGUGAGGGAAAGGCGAAAAGAACCCCGGCGAGGGGAGUGAAAAAGAACCUGAAACCGUGUACGUACAAGCAGUGGGAGCACAGAGCAAUCUGUGUGACUGCGUACCUUUUGUAUAAUGGGUCAGCGACUUAUAUUCUGUAGCAAGGUUAACCGAAUAGGGGAGCCGAAGGGAAACCGAGUCUUAACCGGGCGUUAAGUUGCAGGGUAUAGACCCGAAACCCGGUGAUCUAGCCAUGGGCAGGUUGAAGGUUGGGUAACACUAACUGGAGGACCGAACCGACUAAUGUUGAAAAAUUAGCGGAUGACUUGUGGCUGGGGGUGAAAGGCCAAUCAAACCGGGAGAUAGCUGGUUCUCCCCGAAAGCUAUUUAGGUAGCGCCUCGUGAAUUCAUCUCCGGGGGUAGAGCACGGUUGCGGCAAGGGGGGUAUCCCGACUUACCAACCCGAUGCAAACUGCGAAUACCGGAGAAUGUUAUCACGGGAGACACACGGCGGGUGCUAACGUCCGUCGUGAAGAGGGAAACAACCCAGACCGCCAGCUAAGGUCCCAAAGUCAUGGUUAAGUGGGAAACGAUGUGGGAAGGCCCAGACAGCCAGGAUGUUGGCUUAGAAGCAGCCAUCAUUUAAAGAAAGCGUAAUAGCUCACUGGUCGAGUCGGCCUGCGCGGAAGAUGUAACGGGGCUAAACCAUGCACCGAAGCUGCGGCAGCGACACUGUGUGUUGUUGGGUAGGGGAGCGUUCUGUAAGCCUGUGAAGGUGUGCUGUGAGGCAUGCUGGAGGUAUCAGAAGUGCGAAUGCUGACAUAAGUAACGAUAAAGCGGGUGAAAAGCCCGCUCGCCGGAAGACCAAGGGUUCCUGUCCAACGUUAAUCGGGGCAGGGUGAGUCGACCCCUAAGGCGAGGCCGAAAGGCGUAGUCGAUGGGAAACAGGUUAAUAUUCCUGUACUUGGUGUUACUGCGAAGGGGGGACGGAGAAGGCUAUGUUGGCCGGGCGACGGUUGUCCCGGUUUAAGCGUGUAGGCUGGUUUUCCAGGCAAAUCCGGAAAAUCAAGGCUGAGGCGUGAUGACGAGGCACUACGGUGCUGAAGCAACAAAUGCCCUGCUUCCAGGAAAAGCCUCUAAGCAUCAGGUAACAUCAAAUCGUACCCCAAACCGACACAGGUGGUCAGGUAGAGAAUACCAAGGCGCUUGAGAGAACUCGGGUGAAGGAACUAGGCAAAAUGGUGCCGUAACUUCGGGAGAAGGCACGCUGAUAUGUAGGUGAAGUCCCUCGCGGAUGGAGCUGAAAUCAGUCGAAGAUACCAGCUGGCUGCAACUGUUUAUUAAAAACACAGCACUGUGCAAACACGAAAGUGGACGUAUACGGUGUGACGCCUGCCCGGUGCCGGAAGGUUAAUUGAUGGGGUCAGCGCAAGCGAAGCUCUUGAUCGAAGCCCCGGUAAACGGCGGCCGUAACUAUAACGGUCCUAAGGUAGCGAAAUUCCUUGUCGGGUAAGUUCCGACCUGCACGAAUGGCGUAAUGAUGGCCAGGCUGUCUCCACCCGAGACUCAGUGAAAUUGAACUCGCUGUGAAGAUGCAGUGUACCCGCGGCAAGACGGAAAGACCCCGUGAACCUUUACUAUAGCUUGACACUGAACAUUGAGCCUUGAUGUGUAGGAUAGGUGGGAGGCUUUGAAGUGUGGACGCCAGUCUGCAUGGAGCCGACCUUGAAAUACCACCCUUUAAUGUUUGAUGUUCUAACGUGGACCCGUGAUCCGGGUUGCGGACAGUGUCUGGUGGGUAGUUUGACUGGGGCGGUCUCCUCCUAAAGAGUAACGGAGGAGCACGAAGGUUGGCUAAUCUUGGUCGGACAUCAGGAGGUUAGUGCAAUGGCAUAAGCCAGCUUGACUGCGAGCGUGACGGCGCGAGCAGGUGCGAAAGCAGGUCAUAGUGAUCCGGUGGUUCUGAAUGGAAGGGCCAUCGCUCAACGGAUAAAAGGUACUCCGGGGAUAACAGGCUGAUACCGCCCAAGAGUUCAUAUCGACGGCGGUGUUUGGCACCUCGAUGUCGGCUCAUCACAUCCUGGGGCUGAAGUAGGUCCCAAGGGUAUGGCUGUUCGCCAUUUAAAGUGGUACGCGAGCUGGGUUUAGAACGUCGUGAGACAGUUCGGUCCCUAUCUGCCGUGGGCGCUGGAGAACUGAGGGGGGCUGCUCCUAGUACGAGAGGACCGGAGUGGACGCAUCACUGGUGUUCGGGUUGUCAUGCCAAUGGCACUGCCCGGUAGCUAAAUGCGGAAGAGAUAAGUGCUGAAAGCAUCUAAGCACGAAACUUGCCCCGAGAUGAGUUCUCCCUGACCCUUUAAGGGUCCUGAAGGAACGUUGAAGACGACGACGUUGAUAGGCCGGGUGUGUAAGCGCAGCGAUGCGUUGAGCUAACCGGUACUAAUGAACCGUGAGGCUUAACCU
rnacentral:rRNA from 1 species